CAGCACAGUAAAAUGCGGGUGGCCGACAAGGCCCAUUAUUUCACCAUUUUGGAGCAUUGGAGACGAUUUAUGAAAGUAUUACGGAACAUGCUGAACGAUAACAACUCCCAAAUAAAAGAGAGGGGAAAAAAUGGAAAUAUUCGCCCACAAAAUCCCACGAGAACAUGGUGAAAGGAUCUUUCUUGGCCAUAUGAAGUGAACCUGAAAGGACAGGGACUUACUUUUAUGGCUGAGCGAUGCCCCACAAGGAUUUCUCUCCCAGCUCACAGGUUUCCAUUCCUCGCCUGUCAGUGGAUACAACAUUUCCCUGUCCCGAUGGAGGUCUGACGAGACGAACAUGCAAUAAUCCGCUCCAGUCGUCCAGAAUCAGCGGGCCUUCGGACUCCAGGCUCGGUCCUGGGACUCUGUGGCUUUCAUCUCAAUGUGAGUCAGGAGUUGAUUCAAACAUGGAGUGAUGGGAGAAUUAACCCCUGGGACCCAGCU